GGACAUCACUAGGAUUGAAAGACAGGGGGUGCUUAGCCCCCAGGGUAUUUGUAAAUUGUGUUUGCACAAUCUUUGCACUCACAUCUUUUGUUACUGUAUUAGAGCCACACUUAUGUCAACAACCAGUCAACAAACCAAGAUGUUAACAAUAAUAAUCAAAAAGGGACAGAGA